AACGAACGCUGGCGGCAGGCUUAACACAUGCAAGUCGAACGCAUCGCAAGAUGAGUGGCAGACGGGUGAGUAACGCGUGGGAACAUACCCUUUUCUACGGAAUAGCUCUGGGAAACUGGAAUUAAUACCGUAUACGCCCUACGGGGGAAAGAUUUAUCGGGGAAGGAUUGGCCCGCGUUGGAUUAGCUAGUUGGUGGGGUAAAGGCCUACCAAGGCGACGAUCCAUAGCUGGUCUGAGAGGAUGAUCAGCCACAUUGGGACUGAGACACGGCCCAAACUCCUACGGGAGGCAGCAGUGGGGAAUAUUGGACAAUGGGCGCAAGCCUGAUCCAGCAAUGCCGCGUGAGUGAUGAAGGCCUUAGGGUUGUAAAGCUCUUUUACCCGGGAUGAUAAUGAUAGUACCGGGAGAAUAAGCUCCGGCUAACUUCGUGCCAGCCGCCGCCGUAACAC
rnacentral:rRNA from 1 species